rnacentral:rRNA from 1 species
GACGAACCGUGCGAACGUUGUUCGGAAUCACUGGGCUUAAAGGGCGCGUAGGCGGGCGAGCAAGUCAGGGGUGAAAUCCCACGGCUUAACCGUGGAAGUGCCUUUGAUACUGUCUGUCUUGAGUCCGGGAGAGGUGAGUGGAAUUCCUAGUGUAGAGGUGAAAUUCGUAGAUAUUAGGAAGAACACCAGUGGCGAAGGCGGCUCACUGGCCCGGUACUGACGCUCAUGUGCGAAAGCGUGGGGAGCAAACAGG